rnacentral:lncRNA from 1 species
UAAAAAAACCUUAAAACUGGUUAGAGGAGAAAGAGUUAGAGAGCCAUGAGUGGGAAAACCUCAUAAUACGGAAUAUUGCAUACUAGAAUAUUACAACUUGAGUUAUGAUCAUAAGUCAUGUCAUUUUCAUUUACACGUUGGCUUGUCUUUAUUGAAAGUAAAAAAUAUGUAAUGUUACAAAAUAAACCGAAAGUUAAGGAGAUAUUGAAGAAAAUAAGGAAAACACGUUACUCUCUGAAAAGGAGGUGAUAUCUUCAUCUUUGUUUGUGACAUUUCUCCUUUUCCCUCUUCUCAAUCAGUGGUUAAUUAUUUGCACCUAUUUGAUUUCCUUUAUUUUGUUCAAAAGUCGUAAUUCUUUUAAUUUAUAAUUUGAUAGUUCUACGUAGAUAUCAUGACAUUUACGUUUUCUAACUUUACUGAUCAUUAAACAUACGUUCAACAAGUCAAAUAGUUUCGAGUUUUUGACGUGUAAGGUAAAACUAGAAGGCCUUCGAAUGACACCCAUUUAUUCUGAUAUUGAUUUUUUGGGCAAACUCAAAUGGUUCAUAACAUUACAUUUUGUCAAGACCGAAGUGUUCCGUGUAAGAUUUAUUCUUUAUUUUUAGCAACGAGCCAUUGUAAUGGUCAAUGAACGUUAUUGUUUUUACGUUACAAAUUUGACCGAGAAAAAACUAGUAAUCCUACAUAAUCAAUUUUAGUCAGAAUACAAAUGAAUCCUAGCACGGGCCAUUAUAAUAUAUGUUUCACACGUGACAUACCUGAAUCUAUGUAACAUUUUAUAAUAGCGAUGACUAUUUGUAUACUCGAAUACAGCUAUCAAAUACUAGAUUUUCUGUUGUGAGUCGAGAUUAAUCAUUAUUUACAUACGUCCUCGAAUUAACCUAAACAUUAAGGUGGAAAUCCCGCUCAAGAUUAAAAGCUGUUUAGUGGAUAUAAACGUGUAACUAGUGCGAAUAAACACACAAAUACAAAUCGUAAGAAUAUAGUCAGCAGACAAUUAUUACUCAUUGACUAUCUCAACUAUACGGAGAUGCAAUAAACCAAGUGCCAUACACCAAAGUCGGAUCCACAAUCAAAUCGACAAACAUAUAUAACUAUGUAUAUAUAGAUGCAAACUAUACCCUUUUUCUUCUUCCUUUAAUUUUCUUAAAAUUGGUGGUGAUUGAUCGCAACAUACGUAAGUAUACAUUUGGAAAAAGAAAUACAUAAAGAAAAAAGCAGAAAUCUUGAAAUGUACAAAAUGCCAGAGUUAACUUGAUGGGAAAAGAUUAUCCAUUUCCAUAAAUCUCUUGAUUUUUUUUUUGUAAUAUUUUUCCAGUAAAUCACUUUUUAAUUGCUUUAUUAAUCUAUUAGAUAUUUUACCAAAUAAACUAAUCAGUUGUUCGAUUAAUUUUGGUAAAAAAAACUGUUUAAUAAGCUAGGUUGCAUGGAAACAGAAACGGAUACGCGGAAACGGUUUCGUUUCGAAACGUGGAAACUUGAUUUUUUUAUUUUUUUUGCUUUAGAAAUGUUUUAGAAACGUCUAUAUAUAUAUAUAUAUAACUGAUUAAUAUUUAUAUUCAUUUUUGUUAUGUUUAGUAUAUCUUUUUUGAAAAUAUAUGUUUAAUAUAUCUUAAAAUACAAAUAAAUAAAUAGCCAUUCUAUUUAAUCAUACAAAAAUAAAAUAAAUCAUCAUUAAACAUCAAAGUUAUAUAAAAAAAUCAAAAUAACAAAAACCCAGUACUUAAAUAUUAAAUAACUUAACUAAAAUAAAAAUCAUAACAACAAGUCAUAACCAAUUGGAAAGUUCUAGCGUUUCCAAAACAGAAACGCGAGUUUCCAAAAUAGAAACGCAAGUUUCCACUAAGUUUCCAAACUGAGAUUUUUAAGAAACGAGUUUCCAAAGCGUUUCCGUGAGUUUCCGAGAGAUUCCGAUUCCGAAACGUUUCCGAAAUGUGAAACGGACCUUCAACCGAGUUUCCAUGCAACGUAGUUAAUAAGACCCAAACAGAAAAAGAAAACAGAAUUGGCUGAGCGAGAAAAUAAGCUGCAGAAGGAAAAUUUCCCUAGAAAUUCUACUUAAGUUGCAUGCAUACUACUAGUUAUCAAAUUUCUAUGAAAAUUAAAGUUUUAUUUUUAUUUCCUUCAACUUAUGUUAUAACUGGAUAAAACUUCUAUGAAAAGUCAACAGAUAUUUUCAUCAUUUCAUAAGAAUAAAAUAAUUACUGAUUAAUGUUGAAACGUUACAGUAAGAAAAAAAAUCACACUAAAAGGAAAUGGGAAGAAGCAAACAUAUAUCUUCCACCACUGUGUAUGCGCUUGACAUAUGUGACAAAGACCCCAAGAAAACACCCAAAGCACCAAGCUGAAAAAAAUCCAUCAAAUCGCCGGCGUAGUUGAUGGCGGAGGAGAAUCAAGAAGAAACCCUAGUCUUGAAACCAAGAAGUAAACCACCUCACUUCGUGUUAAUACACGGCAUAAGCUUAGGAUCAUGGUGCUGGUACAAAAUCAAAUGUCUCAUGGAAGUCUCUGGCUUCACCGUCACUUGCAUCGACCUCAAAUCCUCCGGCAUCGAUCCUUCCUCUGCCGAUUCUCUAACUUCCUUCGACCAAUACAACCAACCACUCACCGACUUCCUCUCCUCCUUGCCCGAACAAGAACAGGUCAGACACACACAAAAGAUAACUAAAAAACUAACUUAGUUAAUUCUUGAAGCCUAAGCAAACUCACUCUGUUUCCUCUGUUUUAUGUUUUGUCAUCAGGUGAUACUUGUGGGUCACAGUGCAGGAGGGCUUAGCGUAACGAGCUCGAUACAUAAAUUCCCUAAGAAAAUCUCUCUAGCUGUUUAUAUUGCAGCUACAAUGCUCAAAUUCGGGUUUCAGACCGAUGAAGAUUUGAAAGAUGUAAUUAAAUAAAUAAAAAAUUACUUUAAAAUGAAGGUAACUUGUGAGUGACGUUUUGUUGUUCUUUCACAGGGAGUACCUGAACUAUCAGAACAUGGUGAUGUUUAUGAGCUUGGUUUCGGUUUAGGACACGAACAUCCUCCGACCAGUGCCCUUAUCAAACCGGAGUACCGUCGAAAGCUCCUUUACCACAUGAGUCCUCAACAGGUAUUUUCUAUUUUAUUUUAUUUUAUUUCUCUAGGUUUCAAAUCAGAUAUUUUUUUCUCACAAUCCAAAUCUGUUGUCCUUAUGCUCGCCGUUUUUGUUUAUGAAUGUUGUCAAGGAAUGUGCGUUGGCUGCGUUACUAAUGAGACCAGGUCCGGUUCUGGCGCUAACGACAGCAAAGGUUGAAGAAAAAGGACAAGAAGUGGAGGAGCACGUGCCGCGCGUGUUCAUCAAGACGUUGCACGACCGGGUGAUGAAACCGGAGCAGCAGGAGGCGAUGAUGAAAAAGUGGCCACCGAGAGAAGCGUACGAAGUGGACAGUGACCAUUCACCUUUCUUCUCUAACCCUUUUGUGCUCUUUGGUUUACUCAUCAAAGCUGCCGUUUCUGUUGGUUCCAAUACUGAUAUUUAGUAGACAUGUUACUCGAGUUAACUCUAAUCAAACAGAAAAUGCCCAAUCGUUGCUUUCUCUAUAUUCUCUCUCUGCCUUUGAGGUUGCCCUAAAUAUACAACCUGAUGAUGGUUUAGCGGUGAGAAAUUAGUGGUAGUCUUAUUUUGUUGAAACUAUAUUAUAGAUUGAAUUUUUGAUAUACACUCAUUCAAAUGUCUACCACAGAGAAAAAGAAGGUUUAUAAUGAAAAUGAAUCUGAUUCCCUCGUCCACAAAGACUCUGACAAUUGGCAAAGGCUUUCUUUCUUUUUGCACAUGUCUCCGCUCAGGCCAUUUCAUAUGUCACCUCUCACACUUAUUGGAUUGUCCCCCGCUCCUCUAAAUAUCAAAAGCAUCUGAUGCAGUUGAAUGCACGUAAGACUAUUCAAGAAAACAUCUAAAUUCACUAUUAUGUUGAAAAAAUGAAUGGCCUAAGCGGAGAUGUUGUAUUUUCUGAUCAAGAAAUUUUAUUUUAUUUUUUGGAUUUUGUAACGAUUUGUUAGGCGGGUUAUCCGGUCGCUGAAGACUACACGUUUCUUGGUUAAAAAAACCUUAAAACUGGUUAGAGGAGAAAGAGUUAGAGAGCCAUGAGUGGGAAAACCUCAUAAUACGGAAUAUUGCAUACUAGAAUAUUACAACUUGAGUUAUGAUCAUAAGUCAUGUCAUUUUCAUUUACACGUUGGCUUGUCUUUAUUGAAAGUAAAAAAUAUGUAAUGUUACAAAAUAAACCGAAAGUUAAGGAGAUAUUGAAGAAAAUAAGGAAAACACGUUACUCUCUGAAAAGGAGGUGAUAUCUUCAUCUUUGUUUGUGACAUUUCUCCUUUUCCCUCUUCUCAAUCAGUGGUUAAUUAUUUGCACCUAUUUGAUUUCCUUUAUUUUGUUC